rnacentral:rRNA from 1 species
AGCGAACGCUGGCGGCAGGCAUAACACAUGCAAGUCGAACGAAGUCUUCGUACUUAGUGGCGGACGGGUGAGUAGCACGUGGGAACGUACCUUUUGGUUCGGAACAACUCAGGGAAACUUGAGCUAAUAACGGAUUAGCCCUUAGGGGGAAAGAUUUAUCGCCGAAAGAGCGGCCCGCGUUAGAUUAGCUAGUGGGUGAAGUAAAGGCUCACCAAGGCUACGGUCUAUAGCUGGUCUGAGAGGAUGAUCAGCCACACUGGGACUUAGACCCGGCCCAGACUGCUACGGGAGGCAGCAGUGGGGAAUCUAGCGCAAUGGGCGAAAGCCUGACGCAGCCAUGCCGCGUGACUGAUGAAGGUCUUAGGAUUGUAAAAUUCUUUUACCAGGGACUAUAAUGACGGUACCUGGAGAAAAAGCCCCGGCUAACUUCGUGCCAGCAGCCGCGGUAACAC